UACGUAGGGUGCAAGCGUUAAUCGGAAUUAUUGGGCGUAAAGCGCUCGCAGGUGGUUCGAUGCGUCGUGCGUGAAAGCCCCCGGCUCAACUGGGGAGUGUCGUGCGAUACGGUCGAACUGGAGGCCAGUAGGGGGAUGCGGAAUUCCGGGUGUAGUGGUGGAAUGCGUAGAUAUCGCUUGGAACGCCGAAGGUGAAAACAGGCUGCUGGGGUUGCGCCGACGCUGAGACACGAAAGCCAGGGGAGCAAACGGG
rnacentral:rRNA from 1 species